rnacentral:rRNA from 1 species
AACGCGAAGAACCUUACCCAGGUUUGACAUGCAAAGGACCGGUACAGAGAUGUACCCUCUCUUCGGAGCCUUUGCACAGGUGCUGCAUGGCUGUCGUCAGCUCGUGCCGUGAGGUGUUGGGUUAAGUCCCGCAACGAGCGCAACCCUUAUCAUUAGUUGCCAACACGUGAAGGUGGGAACUCUAGUGAGACUGCCCGGGUUAACCGGGAGGAAGGUGAGGAUGACGUCAAGUCCGCAUGGCCCUUAUAUCUGGGGCUACACACGUUCUACAAUGGUCGGUACAGAAGGAAGCGAAACCGCGAGGUGAAGCAAAUCCCUAAAGCCGAUCCCAGUUCAGAUUGUAGUCUGCAACUCGACUACAUGAAGUUGGAAUUGCUAGUAAUGGCGAGUCAGCAACAUCGCCGUGAAUACGUUCCCGGGCCUUGUACACACCGAGACGAC